AUAAUAUUAGAUACGAUACAGAAAUUCAAACAUAAACUUCUACCCAAGACUGGUGUUACAAUACUCACGAACUUCUAAGAAUACUAAACACAACCGUUUGAAAGAAAUAAAACUGUUUGUCUCGAAUACAUGAGAUAACAGACUGAAAAAUAAAGAUAGAGGAGACACCGGGUCCUGCGGACGCCUGCAAGGCUACCUCGGUGUCUCGGUGAUCGGAAUUCUAACACCCGCACUACUGCUGCUGCUGCUGUCCGAAACCUGUAUCUACGCAAAAAGAGCGCAGAAUGUAGAAUCAGCACAACCAACCCCAUGUGCUAGUAAGUGUCUGGCCUAUCCCGGCGAAGUGGUGAUAAGGCUAGAAUCAGACACUCACAUAAACCUAUACAGUUCAAAAUAUAUAUACAACAGAAAUAACAGGAAGCAACAUUUAAUAUUUGGGAAGGGAAAACAUGCUCUGGGGUAGCAACAAUUUAAAUAUAAAAUCAUCGGAUAAGAAGUGAAGUUGUACAAGACCACAGAUAAGGAAAACACAGUAAAGCUCUACACACGAGGACAAUACUCUUAGUCUAUACUCCGUUGCGGUGCGCAACCCGUUCCAGUCUCAUUUAACACUGUUGCAGCGUGCAACCCGAUCCUCAAUAUAUCAUACUGUUGCGGCGUGCAACCCGAUCCUCAAUAUAUCAUACCGUUGUGACGUGCAUCCCGUUCCUCAUUAUAUUCAUGCCAAGAACUCACCCAAACUACAAAUGCAACUCAAGUAAGGGGGUGGUAACAACAAAUGCACAAAGUUCCGACAAAGGAAUAAACCAACAACUCAAUUAUCCCGGUAAGGGAAAAUACAAUAACUCAGUACCAAGGCUUAACAAAUAAUUCUUUUCAUAGAAUCAAAUAAGAAAGUGAAAUUAUCAAUUUAAGACCCACGGUCAUGUUCGACCCCAACAUAUAGAUACUUGUCACCAUGCCUAUACGCCGGACUAACACAUAACAAUUAGCAAAUAUACUCAACUCCUAUUUCCUCAAGUUAGGAUAGAUCAAACAAUUACCUCGAAGGUUUAUGGCUAACUCAAUCCUUAAGCAAUGCCUUUUCUUUUAAAUUUGGCUCCAAUUCAAUCGUAUUUAUGCAUAAUUGAUUUAAUAUCAUCAAUAACACUUAAUAAACUAAUCCAAAUGGCUAAAUAUAUUUUCUAAAAUAUUCUGCCUAAAAAUUUAAAAAUUAAUCCUGGGCCCGCUUAAUCCAAACUAGGGGUUCGGACCAAAAUCAUUUAUCCAUUCACAAUUGCGUUAUAAUUAAUAAGAACAGCGAGCUGGAAUAGCAGUGGCGUCCUUACUUAUAUGUUGAAACUUACUAGAAUUCACUAACUGAAUCAACCACCGUAGGUAUAGGAUCAUUGCAUAUGGUUAAAACAUAGAAUGGCCCACCUCACGUUCUUUAGCUUCUCUAUGAACCUAUAGCUAGAACUCUUCAUUAUUGAAAGUGAUUGAAAUGGAAUCCUUGGCCGAAUUGUUGUAGUAUUCUUUUGACAAAAAUAAAAAUUGAAUAGGAAAGAUGGCAAAAAGGAAGGCUUUACUAAAGCACAAUAUUUUUUUAAUACAAAGACAUAGUGGACUAAUUUAAUUUUAACUACUAGUUUCUAAUAUGCAUGUUCUUUAAUUGUCAAUGCCAAAGAAAAUCAAGUUUUUCUAGUAAUUUAAAAAAUGAGAAUGUAUUUCCACUCUAUGAUCUUAUGUGCACCUUGCACUGUACUACUAAUAAUAUUACUAAAUGACUUGGAGAAAAUAAUUUGACUUACUGAAACUUUAUUCAGAACAUGUAAAUGUGAUAACAAGCACUGACCCGAAGAAAAGAGCUCUUCAAUUUGGAUCCAAAAAGUCACCGCAAGCUCAAACUCAGUAAUAUGGUGGCACACGAGAUCUUAUUUGAGGAAGAGGGUCUGAAGGUUCUGUGUUUUUUCUUUUUCUUUUUUUUUUUUUGGUUGAGAAUUUGAGACAAUUGUCUCCAC
rnacentral:lncRNA from 1 species